UCCAGCAAGGAUUUUCACAAAAGUAGAAUGGCUAGGUCAUCUGUCUCCCCUGCCACUUCCUAUGGCCAGCCAGAAGAUUCUCUCAACAAAGAUAUUAUCUCUAUUUUUGAGAAAGGCAUGAAAAAACAUACCGAUAACCUAAUGCGCUUUCUUGAAGGGAUCAGCUCACGGAUGUCUCAAUUGGAAUUGUAUUGCUACAACCUUGACAAAUCAAUUGGAGAAAUGCGAUCUGA
rnacentral:misc_RNA from 1 species